AUGACAGUUGAAAAAGGGGUAGGAACCACGCCACGGUUCCUGCGUGGAAACACAAGGCCUUCCUUUGUCUGCAAACAAAGCGCCACGGGCCAUGCUCCCAGUUGUUUUUUGUUUGGGUUUGUGUGUGGGGGUUUUUUUGUUUUGUUUUGUUUUUUCCACCCUUCCGGAAACACGGGCGAUGCGUUACCUCGAAUUCCAAGGGCCGGGGACAAGAGAAGGGAACCGCAGGACCGGCCUGAGGGGCAGCGGGGGUCGGUGUCGCCCGGGCACCGAGACCCCGGCGGGGAAGGGGAGGUCGGACCCGCUCGGCGCCGGAGCCUCGGCAGGUGCGCGCCGCCCUCAGCCCCGGGGGUGCGAGCGUGUCUGUCUGUGUGGGGUGGUUUUACCGUGAGCGCCCCACGACGGGCCCCGCGGCCGCAAGAGCGAUGGAAGCGCCAUCGCCGCCCUCCUCUCCUCACCUCAGGCGCCGAGCGAACCCGCCUCCCCCCUCUCCCGCCUGACCCGCGGCGCCGACUACCGCCGAAAUCGCGGCCCUCACCCACCGCCCGCUCCCCGGCGCCAUUUACCGCGCCUCCCCGGGGCCGCCCCCCUCCCGCCUCCCCCGCUCCCGCCCAGCUCUCCCCGCCUCGCCCCGCCACCACCUCUCCGCCUCGGAGGAGCUGCCUCCCGGCCUCCACCCGCGCAACCUCGGCCACCCCCCCGCCACCCCCCCUCCCCUCCGCCGGGAGUCCCCUCGCCGCUCUCCUGGGGCCGUCGCCGCCCUCGGCUCCACCACUCAAAAUGGCGGCCGCGCUCGGGAACGAGGCUCCGCCGAGAAGCGCCGCGCCGCCCCCUCCCCCACGCCCUCCUCAGGGAGCGCCGCUACCCGCGGCUCCCCGCAGGCGCGCACCGGCCCCGGCACCGCGACGACGGCCGCAGAGGCCCGCCCGCCUCGGGGCCUCUCCGAGCCUCCGCUGCUACCGCCAGCCUGCCCGCAGGCGCCCCGGGCGGGCCCAGCUGGGGCUCGCUCAGCCCCCCGCUCUCUCCGCCGCCGCCACUCCACUCCGCUCCACUCACCGGGAGACCCUCGGACACCCCUCGACGUGCCCCGGCAGGAGCUUCUGCCGGGAAGGAAGCUCCUCCUCACUUCUAACCGGCCGGCGGGCUCGAAACCUACGCAACGAAGAUGGGCAGGAUGGCGUCCCGGCUGCGCAAGUAUCGCGAUAG
rnacentral:lncRNA from 1 species